UGGCCCCAUUACACUCUCGGGCAGGCGGGCAGCGGGAAGGCGACAAGGGCGGGCAGAUCUUUGAGCCACGCCCACUGAGGACAGCAAGCCUAUGCCGCUGAUGAGGACACGGGAGCGGCACGAACGCGACCCGUGUUUCUUGCACUCUUCAUGCGUGCGGACGACUGUGAAACAGCGCCACACUAUGCAUGGCAACAAACAGUUGACUGCGCACAGCACGGCGCCGCAGUGCAUACAGCAUCAGAUGAAGAACACACGAGUAUAAUGCAUCUGCAACAACUUCUUCAAUGGCUGGCUAAAUAUCGCCUCGACAUUAAUGCAGGAUCUCUGAGAAUACCUUGAACGUCCAUAGCAUCUUCUUACGCUGAACGACGAGAUGGCAGGAUUGUUGACUUUACAACAACGCACCCAGGUCACCUUGCAGUUUGAAAUAUGAUGAUGUGUAUUCCUUGUUCAACGUUGAUGCCACACUCAAGACUAAAUCCGUUAGGAAUUGUCACACCAAGCUAAUGACAACUGGCUCAGUGCAAUAAACCACCAAGAGGACAACUUUCAGUGGCGUGAUCACCAGAAAAUGUAGCGGCAGUGAAGGAUAUUUUCAACUGCAGUCCUGGUAAAUCGACACGCUAGUCAGCUGGUACAGUGGACUCAGCAGGCGCAUUGUGCAUGUUGUGUUAAAGAAGGACCUUAGCUGGAACUACUGGAAACCCCAUUAUGUUCAGGAGUUAUCAAUGGAGCAUUGUGACAUGUGGAUGGAAUAUGCUGUCAUGGCAUAACACUUGGCUGGAUUUGUUCAAGAACAUUAUUUGGACUGAUGAGGUGGUGUUUCACGUUGAUGGAUUCGUCAGUCGACAGAGCUGCCAUUAUUGGGCAGAAACAAAUACAGAAAUGGCAAUUGAGAACUCAGAAAGUCUACCAAAAUUGGCAAUAUGGUGUGUAUGACAAAAUCUUGUCUCAUUGGUCCAUUCAUAUUGCGAGGCGCCAUCAACAGCAAUCGAUAUCGCCAGAUGCUGAAUGAAUAUGUGCUUCCUCUGAUACAGCUGUGGGAUUAUGUAACAGAUAUACUUUAAAAAAAUGUUCAAAUGUGUGUGAAAUCUUAUGAGACUUAACUGCUAAGGUCAUCAGCCCCUAAGUGUACACAUUACUUAACCUAAAUUAUCCUAAGGACAAACACACAUACACCCAUGCCUGAGGGAGGACUCGAACCUCCGCCGGGACCAGCCACACAGUCCAUGACUGCAGCACCUUAGUAUACUUUUUCAGUAAGAAGGAGCACCACAUCAUCUUGCCUGCAUUGCUGGACGAACACUUUGCAAGACGUUGACUGGGAUGGCAAGUAUCCAAUGAGUGGCCUCCGAGAAGUCCUGACCUCAUCCCUUGCGACUUCUUCUUGUCAUGUUGGGCCAAAGAAGAGAUAUACCAAACAAAUCCAAGUAUCCUGGACGAGACAGAGGAGAAGACCGCAGCUGUUCUCGGAAAUGUACCUGGGCCUUUCCUGCACAAGUCAAUUGAUGACAUUCCUAUAUAUUUAUGUUGUUUGGUCAACAAUGCUGGAGCAUAUUUGGAAUUGUAGUGUAAUACACAUAUUCUCAUGGUUCUAAGUACAGACUGCAUCUUGUUCAGUGUGCAAAUAUUCAUCAAUAAAAAAUUAAUGGACAUUUAAAA